UUUUUUUUUUUAGUAGCCACUUAGUCAGAAACACUGGUCAAAGUUGGCGUUCAUAAUUGUUUUUUUGCAUUUUUAACACAAACAAAUAUAAAUGCUAACUUUGGCCAGUGUUUGUGACUAAGUGGCUUCUAAAAAGACUGG